rnacentral:ncRNA from 1 species
AAUAAAAUUAUUUAUGGUUUAAAAAUUUAUUAUAAAUUUAUUUUACAUAUAAAUUUUAGUGUUAAUUUUUAAUUUAUUUAAAUAAUAAUUAAUAUUUAUUUGUAGUAAUUAGAAUUAAAAAUUUAAGUAAUUAAGAUUUAGUAAUAUUUAAAUUAAUAAUAAAUUUUGUGCCAGCAGUUGCGGUUAUACAAAAAUUAAAUUAAAUUUUUUUAGGGAUUAAUUAAUAAUAGAUUAUAUAAUAAAAUUAAAAUUUAAAUUAUUAAGUGAAAUUUUAAUUUAUGAAAAUUUUAUAUUGAAUUAUGAAUUAAAAAAUUUUAUUAAAAACUAGGAUUAGAUACCCUAUUAUUAAAAAUUUAAAUUAAUAAUACUAAAAUAGUAUAUAAUUAUUUAUAAAAACUUAAAUAAUUUGGCGGUAUUUUAGUUUAUUUAGAGGAAUCUGUUUAUUAAUUGAUAUUCCACGAAUAAAUUUACUUAAUUUAUUUAAUUUUGUAUAUCGUUGUUAAAAAAAUAUUUUAAAAUAAUAAUAAUAUUUUAAUUUUUAUAUUAAAAGUUAAAUCAGAUCAAGAUGCAGAUUACAAUUAAGAAUAUAAUGGAUUACAAUAAAUUUAUUUAAUUGGAUGUUAUUUUUAAAAAUUAAUUGAAAUUGGAUUUAAAUGUAAUUUUAUUUAAUUUAUUAAAAUGAUUUUAAUUUAAAAUAUGUACAUAUUGCCCGUCGCUUUCAUUAAUAAAUUGAAAUAAGUCGUAACAAAGUAGAGGUACUGGAAAGUGUUUCUAGAAAGAGUA